CACACACGCACACACACACACACACACACACUCCCCUCACCACAGUGUGGAUCAUCCCAGUCUGGAGGCGUGGCUGAAAGCGACCAUCCAGCAGAUCUCAGCGCUGCACUGGGCCCACAGGAAGCAGACUGAAGGUGAAGCAGAGGGGGCGGAGCCUGCUCUUCCUGAAGGAUUCAGAGUCGACUUCACCCCCCAGUGAGUCAGCAGUACUGUGCCGAUCGGCGUUCAGAUUGUACAUCAACAGUUCAAUAACCAGUGAUUGUUUUAUUUCCUCUUAUGCUGGUAUUAAAAUGCUUUUAACUAAUUAAUAUGAGAGCU